rnacentral:rRNA from 1 species
UACGGAGGGUGCAAGCGUUAUCCGGAUUUAUUGGGUUUAAAGGGUGCGUAGGCGGCCCUGUAAGUCAGUGCUGAAAUAUCCCGGCUUAACCGGGAGGGUGGCAUUGAUACUGCGGGGCUAGAGUACAGAUGAGGUAGGCGGAAUUGACGGUGUAGCGGUGAAAUGCUUAGAUAUCGUCAAGAACACCUAUAGCGAAGGCAGCUUACUAGGCUGUAACUGACGCUGAGGCACGAAAGUGUGGGGAUCAAACAGG